AGAGCGAACGCUGGCGGCAGGCUUAACACAUGCAAGUCGAGCGGGCGUAGCAAUACGUCAGCGGCAGACGGGUGAGUAACGCGUGGGAACAUACCUUUUGGUUCGGAACAACACAGGGAAACUUGUGCUAAUACCGGAUAAGCCCUUACGGGGAAAGAUUUAUCGCCGAAAGAUUGGCCCGCGUCUGAUUAGCUAGUUGGUGAGGUAACGGCUCACCAAGGCGACGAUCAGUAGCUGGUCUGAGAGGAUGAUCAGCCACAUUGGGACUGAGACACGGCCCAAACUCCUACGGGAGGCAGCAGUGGGGAAUAUUGGACAAUGGGCGCAAGCCUGAUCCAGCCAUGCCGCGUGAGUGAUGAAGGCCCUAGGGUUGUAAAGCUCUUUUGUGCGGGAAGAUAAUGACGGUACCGCAAGAAUAAGCCCCGGCUAACUUCGCGCCAGUAGCCGC
rnacentral:rRNA from 1 species